CACGCACGGUGGAAGUUGCUACGUGCAAAGAGAUGCGGGCAACCAAGUGCUCUGAGGUGCAGAGGAGGCAGAGGCCAUGCCAACAAGGAGAGCUUACGGCUCUCAGCCCUUCUCCGUGCCAGGCGCUGGGCUGAGCACUUCACAUUGCUGUCUCAUUGAAUCCUGGAGGUAAUCCAUGGGGACCUGAGAUCACUUGAUGCAGUCCACGAUGACCUUGAGUCUCACUCUUCAAGCUGGUCAAGGCUUACUCUUAGCUACCACUGUCCCUGCUGAUAACAAGCUGACCCGAUCCUCCAGCACUGCAUGCUCCACCCUUACCUCCUCUCUCAGCCACCUGGCUUGGUGAGUGGUUGUUCCCUGGAAUAUGGUUGACUUUCAAGAGCCAACCAAUUUAUUGAUCUUGUCCAUUCUUCUUUCUUGGUUCCAUGACUAGCC
rnacentral:lncRNA from 1 species